UAUCUGUCACUUUUUACUUGUUAACAUCUUGGUUUCUUGACUGGUUGUUGAAAUAAGUGUAGCUCUAAUACAGUAACAAAAGAUGUGAGUGCAAAAAUUUUGCAAACGCAAGUUACAAAUACCCUGGGGGCUAAGCACCCCCUGUCUUUAAAUCCUAGUGACGACCCUGACGCCUUACUACUGUCAGA